CUACGGGUGGCUGCAGUGGGGAAUAUUGCGCAAUGGACGAAAGUCUGACGCAGCGACGCCGCGUGAGGGACGAAGGUCUUCGGAUUGUAAACCUCUUUCAGUAGGGACGAAGCGAAAGUGACGGUACCUAAAGAAGAAGCACCGGCUAACUAUGUGCCAGCAGCCGCGGUAAUACAUAGGGUGCAAGCGUUGUCCGGAUUUAUUGGGCGUAAAGAGUUCGUAGGCGGUUUAUCGCGUCGGGUGUGAAAACUCAGGGCUUAACCCUGAGCCUGCACUCGAUACGGGUUUACUUGAGGACGGCAGGGGAGACUGGAACUCCUGGUGUAGCGGUGGAAUGCGCAGAUAUCAGGAAGAACACCAAUGGCGAAGGCAGGUCUCUGGGCCGAUUCUGACGCUGAGGAACGAAAGCGUGGGGAGCAAACAGGAUUAGAUACCCCUGUAGUC
rnacentral:rRNA from 1 species